AUUAGAGAACUCAUAUUUAGAAAUCAGAAUACAACUUCAAGUUUUAAGAAAUGAUUGCAAUGUACACAAUUUUGCAGAAUAAAAGUAACAUGAAAGUCAUACAUUCAUACAUUCAUACUAUAGUUCAUAGAAGAAACCUUAAAAUCGAGCCAAGUCUAUUGGGUUAAAGGCUUAGACCCAGCGGUCCAGUCCCAGACCUAUCAAGACCCAUUUUCAUCUGGGCUUAUCCCUAGAUCUGGCCCAAUUGACCACUAUACUUGUGAAAAAGAAAAAUGUGAUAACUCUCAGAUACACUCUUCAUGCUGUUGUAUCAAAUGUCAGUACAUAAAAUUAAAACCUUAGAAUAUUACAGUCUUUAAAAAUAAAAAAUUUCAGAAUCAAUACAUUGCAACCUAUUAAUACAUGAACACUAUACUAUUGACUAAUCUAUUAUAAAAUUUUGCAUAAUUGAUAUCCUGAAGAAUCUGGCCUCUUUUGGACAUGGUUUGUCCAUUAGAGUUUAGUCCCUUCUUAUGUUUGAAGCAACAGUAUCAAAGUGUCAACUCUUGAACCUGCUAAUUUGGUCAACUAGUGACCAAAUUUGUAGGUACUAGCCCCCAAAUUAGUUAAAGCUUUGCAGCCAUUCUUAUACCUAAAAUAAUAGAUAUAACACACAGAUUUUAGCAUAUUGUCAGCUAUCAUAUUUAGUUCUAAGCCUGAACACAUGCUGAUUUGGCCAAUCAAUGGCCAAAUCUACAAGUUAUGACCUAUCUAAUUUUAAACAAGGCAAACAUUAUACCAACGGUUAUAUUUUUUGAAAAAAAAAUGAAUAAAUACUGAAAGAGCUAAAGCAUCAGAAAAUCAGCAGAAAAGUGUUGGCUCAUGCAAGUCCAAAUUUCCACAUUUCCACAGAAGAUUACAUACCCAAACUCACAAAAGUACUCAUAUUAGUAUAUUUCUAUGUACCAUUAUGUUAGUUAACUUUAGAAUAUGCCAAUCAACAAACACCAAGGAAAAAUAUUCAUUUUGCUAUACAUAUUUUGCAAACUUGAUACUUUAUAAUUCAUCAAGCACAACAGCUACAUGGAGGUAUAAAUCAGUACCUUAAAUAGCAAAGGAAAAGGCAAACAGCUAUAUAUGCAGAAAUUAUUGAAAACUUUGACAGGAAUGGAGCAGCAAUAGAACAGCAGUCAACAACAACCAAAACAACCCAGGAUCUCAAACCCACCAACAACAACUUGAAACCAGAAGUUACUAGCUAGAAAACCCAAGAAAACUUUAUAUUUUAAACCAUUUUUUCACUUGUAAAGAAUCAGAGGAAAUGAGAAAAUUGUGAAGUUUUUUGAUAUUUCUGAAGUCUGAUCUUUUCGGGAAAGAAAUAAAGCUUUUGUGCAGAGAAAACAGGGUUGAAUCCGUG
rnacentral:lncRNA from 1 species